AUUGAACGCUGGCGGCAGGCCUAACACAUGCAAGUCGAGCGGAGCGGCGGACGGGUGAGUAAUGCGUACCAACCUUCCCAUUACUGUGGGAUAACCUGCCGAAAGGCAGACUAAUACCGCAUACUAUCAGAUGAGCCUAGGUCGGAUUAGCUAGUUGGUGGGGUAAAGGCCUACCAAGGCGACGAUCCGUAACUGGUCUGAGAGGAUGAUCAGUCACACUGGAACUGAGACACGGUCCAGACUCCUACGGGAGGCAGCAGUGGGGAAUAUUGGACAAUGGGCGAAAGCCUGAUCCAGCCAUGCCGCGUGUGUGAAGAAGGUCUUCGGAUUGUAAAGCACUUUAAGUUGGGAGGCGUUACCAACAGAAUAAGCACCGGCUAACUUCGUGCCAGCAGCCGCGGUAAUAC
rnacentral:rRNA from 1 species